UCUCAUUGAAACACCGGUUUUCGUACAAUCAUCGUAGUUAAGCAACGUCGAGCCUGGUCAGUAUCGAGCUCGGUGACCGCUUGGGAAUACCAGGUGCUGUAA